rnacentral:rRNA from 1 species
UGCAGUCGAGCGGUAGAGAAGGAGCUUGCUUCUUCUUGAGAGCGGCGGACGGGUGAGUAAUGCCUAGGAAUCUGCCUGGUAGUGGGGGACAACGUUUCGAAAGGAACGCUAAUACCGCAUACGUCCUACGGGAGAAAGUGGGGGAUCUUCGGACCUCACGCUAUCAGAUGAGCCUAGGUCGGAUUAGCUUGUAGGUGAGGUAAUGGCUCACCUAGGCAACGAUCCGUAACUGGUCUGAGAGGAUGAUCAGUCACACUGGAACUGAGACACGGUCCAGACUCCUACGGGAGGCAGCAGUGGGGAAUAUUGGACAAUGGGCGAAAGCCUGAUCCAGCCAUGCCGCGUGUGUGAAGAAGGUCUUCGGAUUGUAAAGCACUUUAAGUUGGGAGGAAGGGUUGUAGCUUAAUACGCUGCAACCUUGACGUUACCAACAGAAUAAGCACCGGCUAACUCUGUGCCAGCAGCCGCGGUAAUACAGAGGGUGCAAGCGUUAAUCGGAAUUACUGGGCGUAAAGCGCGCGUAGGCGGCUUGAUAAGAUGGGUGUGAAAUCCCCGGGCUUAACCUGGGAACUGCAUCCAUAACUGUCUGGCUAGAGUACAGUAGAGGGUGGUGGAAUUUCCUGUGUAGCGGUGAAAUGCGUAGAUAUAGGAAGGAACACCAGUGGCGAAGGCGACCACCUGGACUGAUACUGACGCUGAGGUGCGAAAG